GUUUCUAUCUAUGAAAUGUUUUCUUCCAGUACGAAAGGAUCGAAGGAAAAAGGCCCAUGCUUAAAGUAAACCUUACCCCAACCUAAUGAAAACAACUCAAUUAGAUAAUAAAGCAUAUCCUCCUACCGAAGAUAAACGAU
rnacentral:rRNA from 1 species